GACGAACGCUGGCGGCGUGCCUAAUACAUGCAAGUUGAGCGAUGAAGAUUGGUGCUUGCACCAAUUUGAAGAGCAGCGAACGGGUGAGUAACGCGUGGGGAAUCUGCCUUUGAGCGGGGGACAACAUUUGGAAACGAAUGCUAAUACCGCAUAACAACUUUAAACAUAAGUUUUAAGUUUGAAAGAUGCAAUUGCAUCACUCAAAGAUGAUCCCGCGUUGUAUUAGCUAGUUGGUGAGGUAAAGGCUCACCAAGGCGAUGAUACAUAGCCGACCUGAGAGGGUGAUCGGCCACAUUGGGACUGAGACACGGCCCAAACUCCUACGGGAGGCAGGAGUAGGGAAUCUUCGGCAAUGGACGAAAGUCUGACCGAGCAACGCCGCGUGAGUGAAGAAGGUUUUCGGAUCGUAAAACUCUGUUGGUAGAGAAGAACGUUGGUGAGAGUGGAAAGCUCAUCAAGUGACGGUAACUACCCAGAAAGGGACGGCUAACUACGUG
rnacentral:rRNA from 1 species